rnacentral:lncRNA from 1 species
AGCUGUGGAGGGCAGUGCUAGACAGAAGGGGUAGGAUGGGUGAUAAGGCCACAGAACUGGUGGCCUAGGGUUUGGAGGAUAACUCAUGAGUCAUACGAACAAGGACACUGGGCUUCAUUAAAACUGAAGAAACUUGCUUGGCAAAGAGCACAGUAAAUAAAAUGAAGAAACCAGGCCACGGAAAGAAAACAUCUGAAAUGGGAAUCUGAUCGUGGACCAGUUUUAAAGAUGGGCAAAUGACCUAGGUGCAUCUAUUCAAAGAAGUUAGUCUGUCAGUCAGAAUUAGUUCAGUGAGACUUCUAGUCUCAUUAGCCAGCUUGCUAUGGGGAUCCUAGUUCUGCCUUUCCAGGCUGGAAUUACAAGCAAGCUACCAUGUCCAGUUGGCAUCUGCAUGGGUUUGGGGAACCCGAACUCAUGGACUCACACCUGUGUGACAAGCACUUUAGCCACUGAGCCAUCUUCCUGUCUGCUAGGUGAACUUCUUGUAUACCCAAAACUGCUCUAAAAGAUAAAUUUUUGCAGGAUGUUUGAUCACACUGUGAAAUCUGAGAUUGUAUACUAGAAAAACAAAACAAAACAAAAACAAACCUGUCUCUACUUGUCUUUAGUUGUGAUGUGGUUCAGCCCUAGAAAACACCUUUAACCAAGAAUGUUGCAGGGUAUUUGACCACACUGAGAUUCUGUACUGAAAAAAAAAAAAUCUAUUUCUAGUUAUGGUGUGGCUCAGCCCUAGCCUGCACCUUUAAUCUGAGAGCCUUCUGUUUGUUUUAAACAAGAUUGUGUAAAGUCAACCAUAGGUCAACAGGCAAAGCAGGCAGCUAGUUAAAGGGAGUAAAUAUAGAAAAAAAUAC